rnacentral:lncRNA from 1 species
CUUUCUCACCAGUUGUCUCUCUGUUCAGAAUCAACCCCCUUCCUCUCUGCAGUAGAGGAGAAGGUAGAUCUGAUCAGUGAACUGAUAACUUCCCGGUUUCCUUUUCCCCAUCUUUGCCUGUGUUUCUCAGCAGACCCUUGCCUUAAAAUCCAAGUGAAGAGUAGAAUUUGGAGACUGGGAUCCUAGUGAGAGAAUAAAGCUAAAAGAUGCGGGAUGGCCAAUUCCACACUGGAGGUUCAACAAUUGUGCAUCCACAGAGGUUGCCUGUCCAAGAGCACUAAGUGUAAUACUGAGGCAAGACUCCCCACAAACCAGAACAACUUUUAGUAUCAGAAGGGGAAGCCGACAGAUAGACCCCAAACUCCAGUGGCCAGACUGAUCUGGGGUUGAUGGGAGAGAGAGCACGAAAGAGUUCCCACAAAGCUGAGUUUUGGAGUCUUGCAUUCUUGCAAAAGGUAUCCUUCCCGCCCAUAACAGAUGGCUAUUGUCUGGUGAAGUGGGACCUUCCCUAAGGGGGGAACCUCUCCUGUGACGAGGUCAAGGCCUGGAGUUUCUACCUUUAAACUAAGUAAACUGGGGAUUUCUAGAUUUCCACGUUGACAGAGACAAAGAUGGAUACAUCGAAGUUCAAUGUUAGUUGCUCAAACUAGUUAAAAUUAAUUGUCAUGUUAAACACUUUUGUAAAAUUUUUCAACAAAUCAAAAG